rnacentral:rRNA from 1 species
GACGAACGCUGGCGGCGUGCCUAAUACAUGCAAGUCGAGCGGACCACUUCGGUGGUCAGCGGCGGACGGGUGAGUAACACGUGGGCAACCUGCCUGUAAGACUGGGAUAACACCGGGAAACCGGUGCUAAUACCGGAUAAUCCUUUCCUUCACAUGAGGGAAAGCUGAAAGACGGUUUCGGCUGUCACUUACAGAUGGGCCCGCGGCGCAUUAGCUAGUUGGUAAGGUAACGGCGCACCAAGGCAACGAUGCGUAGCCGACCUGAGAGGGUGGUCGGCCACACUGGGACUGAGACACGGCCCAGACUCCUACGGGAGGCAGCGGUAGGGAAUCUUCCGCAAUGGACGAAAGUCUGACGGAGCAACGCCGCGUGAGCGAUGAAGGCCUUCGGGUCGUAAAGCUCUGUUGUCAGGGAAGAACAAGUACCGGAGUGGUGACGGUAUUGCUUGAAUAAGCAACGGCUAAUUACGUGCCAGCAGCCGCAGUAAUAC